rnacentral:rRNA from 1 species
CAGAAGCGUAUAUUAAUGUUGUUGCAGUUAAAACGCUCGUAGUUGGAUCUUGGAGAAGGACCAGAGAUCUGUCCGCCUGAAGGCGAGUACGGACUCUUCCUCUCUGUAUUUGGUAACACUGCAUCGUGGACCUUAAUUGGUGUUGCGAUUGGCCGGAGGGAAACCGAGGGCUGGGCAGGGCGCCGUGAAAGUAGAGGGCGGGUUGCAAGACCUGUUCUCCGGCGAGCGUCGGGUGGCAGUUUACCUCAUUUACUUUGAAAAAAAUAGAGUGCUCAAAGCAGGCCUUGUGGCCAUUGAAUAAUUCAGCAUGGGAUAAUAGAAUAUGAGACUGUAACUCAUUUUGUUGGUAUUAUGAGUUUGGACUAAUGAUUAAAAGGGACAGUCGGGGUGGUUUGUAUUGAAAAGCUAGAGGUGAAAUUCUUGGAUUUUUUCAAGACAAACUACUGCGAAAGCAAUCUACUAGGAUGCUUUCAUUAA